GGCGCCAUAGCUCAGUGGUAGAACAUCUGCUUUGCAUGCAGAAGGUCCCAGGUUCAAACCCCAAUGGUAUCU